UACGAAGGGGGCAAGCGUUGUUCGGAAUUACUGGGCGUAAAGGGCGCGUAGGCGGUGCACUAAGUCAGGCGUGAAAGCCCUGGGCUCAACCCGGGAACUGCGUUUGAAACUGGCAGGCUAGAGUUUGGCAGAGGGGGGUGGAAUUCCACGUGUAGCAGUGAAAUGCGUAGAGAUGUGGAGGAACACCGAUGGCGAAGGCAGCCCCCUGGGCCAAAACUGACGCUCAGGCACGAAAGCGUGGGGAGCAAACAGG
rnacentral:rRNA from 1 species